AUAUGCAAUGUAUUGGAGCUUAAACUUCACUCAGGAGUAAUAAAAGAUCAUAUAAAAUAUAUACGAACAUUUUCCUUUUCUCAAGAGCAGCAGCAACAAGAAACCAUUACAAGACUAGAAUUUGUUUAUCAAAUGAGAUGAAUUAUUUCCGUUUCUAAAACCAUUUGAAAGACCCCAACUGGAAGCAGUGACAUACCGCUACACAUACUCUUACUACACUUAAGGACUAUACGUGAAAAUUGUCUGUCUACCAAGUAUCAUCAGUGACCUGCAGGACAACAGAUCGGUAGAUCAUAUCAUAUACAAUAUUUCUUUCCAGUUUUAUACAUGUUCAAAAUGUCUGCAAAAUCAUUCAUCUUAUAUUUUGGAUUGUUUGCUACAAUAACAUGGUCUUUAACAACAUCAGAAAAAGUUGACAAAUGUCCGGUAGGUCAUGAGCAAAGAAGUGAACAUCAGAGGGAAGUAUGCGACAAUGCAACAUGGUACCAUUGCAUUCCUGAUGCUAAAUGUCAACUUCAUCAAUUUUGUGCUAUUCCACAAAAAUCAAAACCAAUGAACACACUCUAUAUAUUUAGUGGUUUGGCACAAAAUGAACCUAAAGUGAAUUUUCCGUCCACGAAUACAGAGUUGUAUGGGGAUUUAAGCUUGUUCUUCUGCAAGUACUCGUCAAGGAAAACUUUAAACGAAUUAUUUACAAACAUUCUUAAACGGCUAGAUACUAAUGCUGAUAUAAUUAAUUCAUUUAAAGUACCUUGCAUAAAACCUUAUCAAGAACAUGUACUGCCUGCGUUGGAUAGUUGUGAGAUGAAAUUUAAAUGCGCAGAAACAAGAAAAGUGAUGGACUUUAAACUAUUAGUGUUUCACAAUAGAAAACUGAUAUCCCACGAUUUUGAUAUGGGUCUGUCAAAUCGAACGGAUUAUUAUAAAGUCGGUUUUUUACUAUGUGUUUUAAGUAAUGAGAAAUUUUAUGAUUUCAAAUUGGAAUCAGAAAGCAGCCCUCCAAUCAAAGACUCUGUCUCGAAUAGUCCUAGGGAUGAACUGUCUAUCUAUGGAAUACUCGCUGGAUUCCUUGUGCAUUUAGUUUUAUGAGAGAGACAGCUAAUCUAUUUUAUGAAAGUUUCCUGUGAUCUUGCUGGUAAUUUUCUUUCUUUUAAGUUGUGAUAAAUCUCCUUAAAGGGGCACUAGCUACGAGAUAUAUAAAAAAUCUAAUAUAUCAUAUUUUUUGGCUCAAUCAUAAAUGAAAUGCAAAUAAUACAAUAAUGAUUCGCUUUUAGCAGCCAGUAUGGUUCAAUUUUGUUAAUUGUUUAUUUUAGACUUUUAAUAGUUUGGAUAAAUGUUUUACAUGGUUAUAAAUCAAAUAAGAGAAUUUGAUUAAAAUCGGUGCACAUGAAUUUGACAGCUAGUGUCCGUUAAACGAAAGACCAACUGCAUUUUUUUUUACUUUUACAUUUUAUAUUUAUUUUGAAAGUUUUAAAAGUUUUGUUAAGUGUUUAAAUGAAUGUUUAUUAAUAAUCAAUACUGAAGUAUUUUAUAUUUCUUAUUUUAGUGUCCGUAUUGUACAAUAUAACGUUUUAGAUAGUCUCUCAUACACAUGCAACUGUUUUAAGAGUAGCUUUUGUAUGUUUUAUGAUUAUGUUUUAUUAAAUAUUGGUAUUUUAAAAAAAGUAUUGUUCUAUCUUGUGUUUAUAAUAAUACUAACAAUAAUUAUGGUGCUAAAAUGAUUAAAUCUAUGUGUAGACGAACAAGUUGUAAAAUAGAUAUUGAGCUAUUAAUGAAGGUCUAGUAGUGUUUUUUUUAUGGGGACAUUGCAUUUGCACAAUUUUUUUAAAAUCCAAUCUUUCAUUUGCGCCACAAGGUUAUAUUUCAAUUCCACUAAACUAUAAAAACUACAUUUGCGCCAUUUCACAGGUAAUGCAGGUACAUGUAAAAUAUAACGGAAAAGUUAAAUACUUAUUGCUUUAGUGUGAAUCAGAUUUGUUUCUACAGUAUUUCUCCUGGACUAUUGUUCAGACUCAUUUCUAACACAAAACUGAGAUUUAGAAUUAUAAAGUUAUGAAAAUUAUGGACAUUGUCAUGUCAAAGACAAACAAAAGUCUGUAUUUUUAUGAUCACCAAUACGUUAAAAACCUAAUCAUGUAUAUAUGCAUCAUAUUAAAAAUAGUUAAGGUGUACCAUAAAACUUGCAAAGCCAGGAUAGCAACGGACGGAAAUAUAGGUUUACUAUAGCUAUAGUGUAUAAUGCUUAGAACUGCAUGACUCGUAAUUUUACUUCUUUUUAAAUAUGUUCAAAGUAACAGAACUGUGUUUUAACUAAGUUUUAACAUAACUUGUAUGGUUUCAUGAAACUGAUUUCUGAGGAAUAUGCUUAUUACGCAAAAAAUUCUUAAAUACUUUUUACCUGUAUUAUUGGCGCAAAUUAAAGUUUUUAUUUUUGGCGCAAAUGAAAUGCCUCUUGGCACAAAAGCAAAGCACCGGUUUUUUGCUAUCUUUGAUUAUAAAAGAACAGAACACAUUCUGUAUUUAAAUGGUAAAAGUUAAAAUUUCGAGAGAAGAAUAUUUUUGGUCUGUUGAAGAAAAUUGUAAGUUAUAUGUAAGGUUCUAUGUUUUUUUUCUCACAAAUACUGAUGCAAUUUUCUUUCACUUUUUUUUUAAACUUUGCAAUACUUGCUUUUUUAUGUAUCUCUGUCCUGUUUUUUUCUCUCACUCUUUUCGGUCCAGCCUUUUUAGAUAAGUUCAUCCUGACUUUUUUAUAUGGAUUGUUAUUCUGCCUUUUUUGCAAAGUAUCUCAUUCUGCCUUUGUUUUACUCAAAACUCCUGUCCUGCUUUUUUUUCAAAUUUAAUCGUAGCCCCCCGUUUCCCCCAUAAAAAUCAAACGGUAACUCCCUUACAUAUUCUGACAUCAGACACGGACUUCUAUUAAACUGAGCUUUACUGUGCGUAUUGCUGUUUUUUUUUUUAACAUUUGGCCAGAGUUAUAGGGGGUGGGUUGAUAUCUUAUUAAACAUGCUUAACCCUGCCGCAUUUUUGCGCCUGUCCCAAGUCAGGAACCUCUGUCUUUUCUUAGUCUUGUAUGUUUGUUUUUAAAAUUUAGUUCAUUUACAUGUUUUGAAGCUUAAUAGGACAUCCAUUUUCACUAAUACCCAUUUUUGUUUAUGGACCAGCUGAAGUUCGCCUGCGGAUACGGGAUUUUCUGGCUGUGUUUAAGACCAAUUGGUGGGUUUUAUUAUUUUAGCUCACCUGGCCGAAAGGGCCAAGUGAGCUUUUCCCAUCACUUUGCGUCCGGCGUCCGGCGUCCGUCGUCGUCCGUCGUCCGUUGUUGUCCGUCGUCCGUCGUCGUUAACUUUUACAAAAAUCUUCUCCUCUGAAACUACUUCGUCAAAUUAAACCAAACUUGGCCACAAUCAUCAUUGGGGUAUCUAGUUUAAAAAAAUGUGUCAAGUGACCCGGCCAACCAACCAAGAUGGCCGCCAUAGCUAAAAAUAGAACAUAGGGGUAGAAUGCAGUUUUUGGCUUAUAACUCCAAAACCAAAGCAUUUAGAGCAAUCUGAGCGGGGUAAAGUUGUUAAUCAGGUAAAGAUCUAUCUGCCCUGAAAUUUUCAGAUGAAUCGGACAACCGUUGUUGGGUUGCUGCCCCUAAAUUGGUAAUUUUAAGGAAAUUUUACUGUUUUUGGUUAUUAUCUUGAAUAUUAUUAUAGAUAGAGAUAAACUGUAAACAGCAAUAAUGUUCAGCAAAGAAAGAUUUACAAAAAAGUCAAAUGACCGAAAUGGUCAGUUGACUCCUUUAAGAGUUAUUGCCCUUUAUAGUCAAUUUUUAACCAUUUUUCGUAAAUCUUAGUAUUCUUUUACAAAAAUCUUCUCCUCUGAAACUACUGGGCCAAAUUAAUCCAAACUUGGCCACAAUCAUCAUUGGGGUAUCUAGUUUAAAAAAUGCGUGGCGUGACCCUGCCAACCAACCAAGAUGGCCGCCAUGGCUAAAAAUAGAACAGAGGGGUAAAAUGUAGAUUUGGCUUAUAACUCCAAAACCAAACCAUUUAGAGCAAAUCUGACAUGGGUAAAAUUGUUAAUAAGGUAAAGAUCUAUCUGCCCUGAAAUUUUCAGAUGAAUUGGACAACCCGUUGUUGGGUUGCUUCCCCUAAAUUGGUAAUUUUAAGGAAAUUUUACUGUUUUUGGUUAUUAUCUUGAAUAUUAUUAUAGAUAGAGAUAAACUGUAAACAGCAAUAAUGUUCAGCAAAGUAAGAUUUACAAAUAAGUCAACAUGACCGAAAUGGUCAGUUGACCCCUUUAGGAGUUAUUGCCCUUUAUAGUCAAUUUUUAACCAUCUUUCGUAAAUCUUAAUAAUCUUUUACAAAAAUCUUCUCCUCUGAAACUACUGGGCCAAGUUAAUCCAAACUUGGCCGCAAUCAUCAUUGGGGUAUCUAGUUUAAAAAAUGUGUGGCGUGACCCUGCCAACUGACCAAAAUGGCCACCAUGGCUAAAAAUAGAACAUAGGGGUAAAAUGUAGAUUUUGUCUUAUAACUCUAAAACCAAAGCAUUUAGAGCAAAUCUGACAGAGGUAAAAUAAUCUAUUUGGUCAAGAUCUAUCUGCCCUGAAAUUUUCAGACAAAUCGGACAACCCGUUGGUUGGUUGCUGCCCCUGAAUUAGUAAUUUUAAGGAAAUUUUGCAGUUUUUUCUUAUUAUCUUGAAUAUAAUUAUAGAUAGAGAUAAACUGUAAACAGCGAUAAUGUUCAGCAAAGUAAGAUUUACAAAUAAGUCAACAUGACCAAAAUGGUCAGUUGACCCCUUAAGGAGUUAUUGCCCUUUAUAGUCAUUUUUUUACCACUUUUUCGUAGUAUUUUGUAAUCUUUUAGAAAAAUCUUCUCCUCUGAAACUACUGGACCAAGUUUAACCAAACUUGGCCACAAUUAUCAUUGGAGUAUCUUGUUUAAAAAAUGUGUGGGGUGAUCGGGCCAACCAACCAAGAUAGUGGCUAUGACUAAAAAUAGAACAUAGGGGUAAAAUGUAGAUUUAGGCUUAUAAUUCUGAAACCAAAGCAUUUAGAGCAAAUCUGACUAAGUUAAAUUGUUAAUCAAGUCAAGAUCUAUCUGCCCUGAAAUUUUCAGACGAAUCAGACAACUGGUUGUUGGAUUGCUGCCCCUGAAUUAGUAAUUUUUAAAGAAAUUUUACCGUUUUUGGUUAUUAUCUUGAAUAUUUAUAUAGAUAGAGAUAAACUGUUAACAUCAAUAAAGUUCAGCAAAGUCAGAUCUACAAAUAGGUCAACAUGACCAAAAUUGUCAGUUGACUCCUUAAGGAGUUAUUGCCCUUUAUAGUCAAUUUACAAAAUAUUUUCUCUGUUACUAAUGGGCCAAGUUCAUUGUAGAUAGAGAUAAUUGUAAGUAGCAAGAACGUUCAGUAAAGUAAGAACUUCAAACACAUCACCAUCUGACACCAAAACACAAUUUUGUCAUGAAUCCAUCUGUGUCCUUUGUUUAAUAUGGACAAACACCAAGGUGAGCGACAAAGGCUCUUUAGAGCCUCUAGUUUACUCUUUGUUUCGGUUAUUGUCUCAAAAACAUUUCCCAUUUCUACUCUCAAUUUAUACUAAAAUAAUAAAGAAUACGGCAAUGAAGGAGACCCCUUCCACGCCCUCAUUAAUACAAAAAACUGUUCUAGUAGAUAUCUCGAGGCCGAUAUGGGAGUGUCGGGAUGAUACCAGGCCCAAUAUGGAAAAGGGCAUGUUAUAAUCUAUACUUAUUUGUCACUAUAUGAUGUUAUAAAAUAAAUAUUUAUGAAAAGAUGAUUUAGCAUGAAGUGCUGACAACCGGGAAGACAUUGAAGAAACGUUCUAUUCCUUUUCAGUCUGUUCGUUUCAUGCCUUAUUGAGAGAUUUGUAUUUAAAAAAAGAAAUAAACACAUGUGCUUAUUAUAUUUAUUUGCAUUUACUAAUAUCACUGCUCACGGCAAAUGUUCAUAUUAUAAGUUCGAUUGUCAUUAUGCAAAUCACUGAGCAAUAAUGAUUGUGUCUCAGUAAGAAAACAUGACUAUAUAAAAAAGAAGAUGUGGUAUGAUUGCCAAUGAGACAACUAUCCACAAAAGACCAAAAUGACACAGACAUUAACAACUAUAGGUCAGGCCAAAUAAAAAUAUAUGUGUGGUUCCAGUAACCCUGCCGUCCCUACUUUUUCGACUUAAAAAAAGCCUACCCUAAAGAUUUUAUUGUCAUUUUUCAUUAAGCACUGUUAAAGUCAGAAUGUUGCUCCCAUAGACUCAAUGUAAAAAAAAACCAACAUAAAAUAAAAAAAAAAUCCUACCUACCUACCCUAACUUUUUUUCAGAUGUAACUGGAACCACACAUACUUUUUUAUUUGGCCUCACCGUACGGCCUUCAACAAUGAGCAAAGCCCAUACCGCAUAGUCAGCUAUAAAAGGCCCCGAUAAGACAAUGUAAAACAAU